rnacentral:rRNA from 1 species
UACGGAGGGGGCGAGCGUUAUUCGGAAUUAUUGGGCGUAAAGGGCGCGUAGGCGGCUGUACAAGUCAAAGGUGAAAUCCCUCGGCUCAACUGAGGAACUGCCUUUGAAACUGUACGGCUUGAGGCCGGGAGGGGGUAGCGGAAUUCCAGGUGUAGCGGUGAAAUGCGUAGAUAUCUGGAGGAAUACCGGUGGCGAAGGCGGCAUCCUGGACCGACAUUGACGCUGAGGAGCGAAAGCUAGGGGAGCAAACGGG